rnacentral:lncRNA from 1 species
CCAAGAAUUUCCGAGUUAGUGACGGGGACUGGAUCUGCCCUGACAAGAAGUGUGGAAAUGUAAACUUCGCCAGAAGAACCAGCUGUAACAGAUGUGGUCGAGAGAAGACAACUGAGGCCAAGAUGAUGAAAGCUGGGGGAACAGAAAUAGGAAAGACACUGGCAGAGAAGAGCCGGGGCUUAUUUAGUGCCAAUGAUUGGCAGUGCAAAACUUGCAGUAAUGUGAAUUGGGCUAGAAGAUCAGAGUGUAACAUGUGUAAUACUCCAAAGUAUGCUAAAUUAGAAGAAAGAACAGGAUAUGGAGGUGGUUUUAAUGAAAGAGAGAAUGUUGAAUACAUAGAAAGAGAAGAAUCUGAUGGGGAAUAUGAUGAGUUUGGACGUAAAAAGAAAAAAUACAGGGGGAAGGCAGUUGGUCCUGCAUCUAUAUUAAAGGAAGUCGAAGAUAAAGAAUCAGAGGGAGAAGAAGAGGAUGAGGAUGAAGAUCUCUCUAAAUAUAAGCUAGAUGAGGACGAGGAUGAAGAUGAUGCUGAUCUCUCAAAAUAUAAUCUUGAUGCCAGUGAAGAGGAAGAUAGUAACAAAAAGAAAAGCAAUAGGCGGAGCCGCUCAAAGUCUCGAUCGUCUCACUCAAGGUCUUCAUCACGCUCAUCCUCCCCCUCAAGUUCAAGGUCCAGGUCCAGGUAAACGGGUGCAGGCCAAGGGUAACACCAGUCAAAAUGUCAGUAUCUAACUUUUUACUACUUAACUUAAAUAAGCUUUUUAUUUUAAAUAUUUCAAUAAUGUCACCUUAGCUCACUUUAUCUUUGUAUCCUGCAAAUACUACCCUGUAUUUUUAGAAAUUUUAAACCUUAGAAGUUGCCUGUUUUGUGUCACCCCUUUGGCUUUGACUAGAGUACCUUAAGUUCAAAAACACCUUCUAAGCGACGUAUUUCUAAGUAGGUAGAGUGUGUUCAGGUAUUGUCUAGUAAAGUAGAAAUUUAUUUUAAUAUGUUAAAGUUUAGUUUUUAGAUUUUUCUGAGCAUUAAUGACACAUAAUUUUUGAUAAUUUAUUUUGAUGUCAAUCUUCUGAAUAGAGAACAAAUCUAGCCAUAAUGUUAAUGCUUCCAAAGAGUCCAGGAUAUUCAGAUAUUUAAAACAUGUAUUUGAUAUUAUAAUUAAAACUAAACAUUGCUUUAUAUGGGUCAGCAUUAAUGGCCAAUUUUUUAAUGAUAUUUAAGAAUAAAACAUGUUGCCAGCUAUUUAAUUAGUACUGUAAAGCCUAAGAAUGCUAAUUUUGAAGGCCAGGGAAAUAUACCUCAGUGAUAGAGCCUUGUCUUAGCAUGUGUGGGGCCCUAGGCUCAAUUCCUAGUCCCUCUCCUCCCCCGUAAGUUGAUUCUGAGAGAAGUGUGAUAGUCUUCCUGUGAGAACAAACUAAAAAUGGUGUGAGGGAUGUCAUUUGUGGUUUUUAGAGUGUGAAGGUCAUAUUUCCCUUGGCUCUAUAGUCUGUUAGUAAUGUAAUUAAUGUAGAACACUGGGUUGUUGAAUCUUUUAUUCUGUACAGAUGAAGACUAGACACCAAAAUGUGAUGCAGCAAUUAGGGUUUUCUGCCUACUAGACCCGGGAAAUGGGUUUUCAAAUAAAAAUGCAAAGAGCCCUGGAGAAUGUAAAUGCAACAUUAUCUAGUGACCGGUCCUGCUUGUUGCUUCCCAUUUGGUAGCUUAAUCAGGCUGGGAAAGUGGUCACUGUUUUUUUUCUUCUUUAAACUUAGUCUUUAUUACAGUAAGAAGCUUUGUUU